rnacentral:rRNA from 1 species
UAGGGAAUCUUCCACAAUGGACGCAAGUCUGAUGGAGCAACGCCGCGUGAGUGAAGAAGGUUUUCGGAUCGUAAAUCUCUGUUGUUGGUGAAGAAGGAUAGAGGUAGUAACUGGCCUUUAUUUGACGGUAAUCAACCAGAAAGUCACGGCUAACUACGUGCCAGCAGCCGCGGUAAUACGUAGGUGGCAAGCGUUGUCCGGAUUUAUUGGGCGUAAAGCGAGCGCAGGCGGAAGAAUAAGUCUGAUGUGAAAGCCCUCGGCUUAACCGAGGAACUGCAUCGGAAACUGUUUUUCUUGAGUGCAGAAGAGGAGAGUGGAAUUCCAUGUGUAGCGGUGGAAUGCGUAGAUAUAUGGAAGAACACCAGUGGCGAAGGCGACUCUCUGGUCUGCAACUGACGCUGAGGCUCGAAAGCAUGGGUAGCGAACAGG